CAGCUUUCCUUUUGAUGUUUUUGAACAUUUGACCAUAAUACAACUGAAACCACACAAGUAAAGUUGCAGAUAAGCAGACUACUGUAUUCAAGAAAAAUACAAUAAAAACUGAAGAUUGUAGAAGCAGGAUGCUGUGCAACAGAGGUGCAUUGUGUCUGGAAUUUCACAGUUUCCUACAGGGGCAGAAACGCUGAGCAGACCUUUAGUCUUCCUUAGAUGUCCUGGACCCUUAAGAUAAAGGCGGCAUCUGUGUUCCAAGGCAGCCACUUUCAGGAGUGAGAGAGAUGAUUUGUCAAAAUGCUUUGUAAAUUCACAAGAUUUUUGUUGGUGUUUGACAUGAGUCCUUCUGUGUGCUUCUGAAUUAAAGGGGUUAAGUUCCAAGACCAAGGAUCAUUUUCUGUUUUGGUAAUCAGCAGAUCUCGAUGUUUUCAACGUUGCUGACUUUUCCUAAAUACUUCAUAAAUAUCUGUGAACUAUCUGAGCUGCAAUAAUGCCUGUAUUGAUGUCCACUUGUUAAAACCUAUGAGCUGAACCUCUCUUGCUGCAUAAGUACCUAUAUGAAGGUAAUUAAAUGCAUUCAACCAUU